rnacentral:ribozyme from 1 species
ACGCGUACGAAAAGAAGGGAAGAAGAAGAGCGAGUCCCACCACAUCAUAAACACUCAAAAAAAAAAUCGAUUUGUAUUCCUAAUUUUUCCUUUGUUUUAUUUAAGCAUGCUAGUGAUUCUUUUUUUUUUCUUCCC